GUCUACGGCCAUACCACCCUGAACGCGCCUGAUCUCAUCUGAUCUCAGAAGCUAAGCAGGGUCGGGCCUGGUUAGUACUUGGAUGGGAGACAGGAUGACUUCUCAGUGUGAGCC
ensembl:rRNA 5S_rRNA 5S ribosomal RNA